UAUUAAAAAUGAAUGCAAAAUGUGAAUCUGGGAAACCAACAAGAAAAAGAAUACAUAAUAUUAUAACUAGACAUGAAAGUGAAAGAUAUGCUGGGCAACCAAACAAACUACCUGUUAGUGACCUCCCAACAUAUAAACAGAUUAUUCAAUAUGCCUAUAAGGUUUAAAAAGAAAUGAUUACAACUAAAAAAAUUGAUUCUGCUGCCAUAGUUUUAAAAGUAAGUGAAGAAAUUUUAAAAAUUUGGAAAAAAUUGAAUCCAAAUCUUCCAUUAAUAAAGAAGAAACCUCUAAGAAAUAAGUUACAAAGAACAUUUCAAAAAGUAAUUGCAGCUAAAGCUUCAAAAUAUAAAAACUGUUUGUUGGUUGGAAAAUAAUCUAUCAAAGUUAUUUGAUAUAACAUGCAGAUGUGAACUUCCUCUUUUAAAUUGUGAUGACAGAAAUGUUUGAUGCAAGGGUUGCUCUAACAACCACUAUGUAUGUCUCUGUGAAGAAAGCAAACUGGUUCCAGUUCUAGAACAAGAGUAUUUAAAGAAUCAGAAAGCUAAGAAAGGGCCCUUUGGAACCUGGCAGAUAGGCCAAAUUGAUAAGAAAGAGAUCAAAAGAAAAAGAAGUAACGAGAAAAUUAAUUUAACAAGUGACACAGCAAUUCAUUCAGAUGAUGAUUGUAUCAGUGAAACUUAUGAUGUGGAAAUAGAUAACAAUUAUGAUUAUAAAAAUCAGAAUCGUGAAUUUUUUUGCAAAACCACUGUGUAAAAAACACAGUGGUUUUGCAAAAAAAUUACACAGAUUUAACUAACAUUGCCAAAGCUGCUAUCAGAUUCGAAGUUAGUGACGCUGCAAUAUCUGCCAUAGCAACUGCUACCUAUAUAGGCUAUCAAAUUAUAAAUCAGAAUGAUAGAUCACAAAUUAUCACUGAAAAAAAGAUAUUUGACACUAAAAAGCGUGUUUCAACCAUGAUUAGUGAAAAAUACAGUUUAGAAGUUUUUCAUUUGAAAGUCAUUGGAGUAGAUAGUAAAAAAGACAAAAAAACAUUAGCACAUGUAUUAGGAUAUGAUCAUUAUGCAGAACCUAUUAUUAAUAGAACAGUAAAGGAUGAACAUCACUUAACUUUUACUGCAGAAAGUGGACCUUUUACUAAGAAAUAUUUAACUCAUAUUGAAAUAAAAAAUGGAACAGGAAUUACAAUGGCAACCGAGACAAUAAAAAUAAUCGAAAAGUUCAACAGCAUUAGUAGUUUGGAAGCCAUUGUUCUUGAUAAUACUUCUGCUAAUACUGGUGCAGAUAUUGGCUUAGUUGUGACAUUAGAAUGGUUUUUAAAUCGACGAAUCUAUUUAAUAGGAUGUGUACUUCACCAAAAUGAGUUACCACUUCGCCAUGUCAUACAUGAAGUAGAUGGUAAAAGUAACGAUCCAAAGAAAUAAAAGGGCCUUAUUGGGCAAAAAACAUCUGCAGGUGAUUUGCAUGAUUUACCAAUAGUUGCUUUUGUUCCGAUUCAUUCAGAGAUUGAUUCCUAUGUAAACUCUGAUAUUUUAUCUGAUCUUAGUACAGAUCAAUGUAAACUUUAUGAAUACUGCAUUGGAAUAUCUUAAGGCUUUAUAUCUCCAAAAUAUUCAAUGAAAAAACCAGGACCCGUUUACCAUGUCAGAUGGUUAACUCUAGCUUUAAGAGUAAUGAUGGUUUAUACGAGAGUGAAGAAUCCUACAGAUGAGUUGUGUACAAUUACAAAGUAUGUAGUACAAGAAUAUUGCCCCAUGUGGUUUGCCCUUAAAAGGUAUGGUCUUUAUAAAGAUGCUCCUAGACUUCUUCAUAAGACAAUAGAGCUUGUUAAAAAUCAGGCAGACAAUAUACAACAAAUUGUUUUUCAAAAUCUUCAAGGAAACUCUUAUUGCUGUCUUCAAGAAAACUUUUUAUAUUCUAUGUUGCAAGAUGAUGAAAAAGAUAUAAUGGCUCAAGCUAUUAAGUAAGUUUUGCACACGAGGCAAUCAAGAUUGACAAACUAUGCCUAUUAACGCUGAUACAUGGAGUAGUUUAGUUGAUGUUUCUUUAAUUAAGGCUGAACUUUAAACUUCUAUCCUAGUUUCAUCAUUUGAAUUAGAGAAUGCUUUGCAAACUUCUGAAAAACCUAUUCUUACGGAUUUACCCAACAAUUCCCAGUCAGUGAAAAGGUCCGUGAAGCUUGUAUCAGAGGCAUCAAAGAUUAAAACCGAAGCAGAGUAGAAAAUAAAUGUAAUUCAUCUAAAACUGAUUACUUUAUUCCUUUUUCUUGAGAAAAUGUUUUGUUUUUUUUUAAAUUUAAUUUUGUUCACAUACCUAAGUCCGAAGGUAUACUUGACUUGACUACUGUCAAGAAUUAUCUCCCUUCAACCCUUAACUUCGAAAUCAUCCUUGUGCAGAAAAACAUGUUGAACAGGAUAAUUUCAGAAAUAAACAGGGACCAAGGCAGCCAGAACCAAAAUUUUAAAAGAAAAGUUUUAAAAAAGUUGGGGGGGGGGGUAACACUCUUGCCCCUCUGCCCCCUGUUCUUAUCCCAGUGUUUAAGAUUAUAUGGUAAAUAUUCAUUCUAUAAUAUUCAAAUAUUCUAAUGGAAAGAAUAUUUAUAUCAAAGCUUGUACUAAAGUAUAAUAAAUAUUGAGAAUGCCAUAAAAAUAAUUAAUUCAUUGAAAACAAGAAAAUACUUAGAAACUUCAAAACCAUUUCCCAAAAUUGCCUAUAAUCCAAUCAGUCUGAAAUUUUCAGGAUUGUCUUAAAAUCAUAUGUACAACAAAUCCCAAAGUGAGCCAAUAUGAUCUGAGAAAAAAAGUAUAUUUUGGUAGUGGCUUAAUGUGCACUCAUUGCAUCUAUCUUAAAAACAGAGUGGGCCUAAGUUUUUUUAAAAAGCAAAUAUUAGUUUUAUUGUGUAUAUAUAUUGAAUAGUUACAUAAUUGUUAAAUGUUUAGUUUUUGUUUUAUCUGCCUCACUAUUAUCCUAUGGUUCUUUCCUUGACAUCCAAAUAUACUCUGACUUCUUGCUUGUUUAGUUUUUAUACAAUAGUCUGGGCACUCUUGUUGAUUUAUUACAUGCAAGAUUUUAUGCAAAAAACAAUCUGCUAUUUGCUGUUGAAUUAUUCUACAUUUAUCAAAUGGAAUUUUUGAGAAAAGAAGAAUAAAAUAAACUUAGAUUUGAUAUGAAACUUAUUUUUAAUGUAAACAAUAGGAUAAAUAAAACAAAUAUUCAAAAAUCAGAGGUUUGGGUUUAAACUUCAGUCAAAGUAAAGUAAACUUUUUUUCAAAAAAAACUUGGACAGUUUUUUUGACCCUACUUUAUAUAAUUUUUUUUCUUUUUUUUUUUUUGUGUUUUUAUACAUUUUUUAUAGUAUUAGUUUUAUAUUUACAUCAUUAUUAUAGUAUUAUAAAAAGUAUACAAAAAUAUGCACAAUCUUUUAAUGCUUCUACUUUAAAGUUUUUAUUGUGAUGAUGACAAUUUUUUUUUUAAGCUAUAUUAAAAAAAUAUUAAAAAUGGCGAAAGGUAUAAGAGUAAACAAGAUGAAGAAGGGUUCACAAAAGCAAUUUCAUAAAAUUCAACGAAUUAAAAAGAAGCAUUUUAAAAGUAUGGCUAAAAAAGUUAAUAUUUUAGAAUGUGCUACAGAGAACAAAUUAUCUGAUCAGCUUACAACAGGGUCAAAAGGAAAUCAUGUAAAACUAACCGUUCAACAGAAAAAAGCUAAAAAGAAAAUGAAUAAAAAGUUAGCAAAAAUUGCCAGAAAAGCAUCAAUGGACAUAUGUCUUUCAGAAAUACCUUCUUCAGAAUGCAAAGAAGAAGAAAAAAUGAUUGUUGAAUAGUCUUGAAGAAUACUUUCUGUUUAUUAGUAUGGAAUUUGUAACUUGAAGGUUAAUCAAUUAAGAAAAAUAAAUAAAAGAGUUCGCUA